rnacentral:rRNA from 1 species
UACGGAGGGUGCAAGCGUUAUCCGGAAUCAUUGGGUUUAAAGGGUCCGCAGGCGGUUCUAUAAGUCAGUGGUGAAAUCUCUCGGCUCAACCGAGAAACUGCCAUUGAUACUGUAGGACUUGAAUUCGGUCGAAGUGGGCGGAAUAUGACAUGUAGCGGUGAAAUGCUUAGAUAUGUCAUAGAACACCGAUAGCGAAGGCAGCUCACUAGGCCUGGAUUGACGCUCAGGGACGAAAGCGUGGGGA